GUGCUUAACUGCCUGAGGGCAGCAGUGUGAUUCAAAUUUUGGAGAAUCCUCUCUGUUCUCUAAAAAGCACUUUUGAUACUUGGCUGAACUCCAGUUCUACUUUGGAGGUGAUUAAUGAUUGAUCAGGAUGCAUCAAAUGGAGCUGAGGGGAAGAAGCAGGGGCAGGAAAAGAAACAGAGCUUUGAAAGCUUUGUAGACACUACCAGGAAGAGCUGGAAGAGAUUUGGGACCUGACUUCACCUCUGCACAGUACCAUUCCAUGCAGCUUAUCUCUACACUCCCCUUGGAGACCAGCCAUCUCAGUACUUGUGUGUUCAAGCUGUGCCAUUUCAGGCCUGUCUAGUUGGCACCCUGAGUCAAAAAGAAAGCUGUGUCCAGGCAGAAAGCAUCCAGAAGAAGUCUCAGGAGUUCUUAUGGGCAGGAAGGCACAAGAGAUGCAGAGGGUCGGUUCCCUGUAGAAAGUCCUCUGUAGGAAGCUUGCUGAAAUCCACAUAUUAGACUUUCCUGGAGACUCAAAUGUUCAUGAGGAAACAGAAAAUCCAAACUCCUCUCAAGGUGGGGAAACCUCCAUGAACACCUCCCAUGAAUCUCUUGUCCUCAAAUCCUUAUAUUCAACAAGAGUUGGAAGCACAUAUAAUGUUUCAAGUGAUCUUUCCAGGUGGUGCUAGUGGUGAAGAACCCACCUGCCAAUGCAGGAGACAUAAGACACGGGUUCAAUCCCUGGGCCGGAAAGAUCCCCUGGAGGAGGAAAUAGCAAUCCACUCCAGUAUUCUUCCUUGGAGAAGCCUCAUGGACAGAGGAGUCUGGCAGGCUACAGUCCAUGGGGUAGCAAAGAGUCAGACACAACUAAAGCGACUUAGCACACACAGGUGAGGUACAGGUGGGGAGUACCUCUAGAGUUACUCAAGUUCAUACUUAGCUUAAAGUUGAAAAAGGCUCGAGUGCACCUUGAAAGUCACCUAUGACUCUGGGGACCAUUCAAAAUCCCAGUUAACCAAGUUUUUGGAAAAGCCCCUCCAAGCUCAUCUGAGAGAGAAAGUGAUAAUAACAAGGGCAAUUUCCCCUCUGAAGAGUCUCUUUCCUGCCCCCUCAUGGGAGAGUGAAGAAACCCCGGGGCCCCUGGGAGGACCCCCACCUGGUGACACCCAUAAGCCCUCAGAGGUCCCUCUGACUGGACAGGAAGACAAGCCACCCUCACAGGCCCCCUCAUACCACUCUGUGGGCAGAGUCUGUGACAGUGAGUUUGUGGUGGGGACUGACAAAGGCAGCCUGGAGCCCAGCCAAGUCCGGCAUUGGCUGGGAAUGAACCACAGGAAGAAGCUGGCCGGCAGGCCUCCCCAGACUCCUGCUCUAUCAUGACAGUCAGAUCUCGACACAUGGUCCCAAUCUUUCAGGGCCCAAGAGGUCAUGGAGGGGGAUCCUGCUCGGAAAAGUACUUUCAAACCUAGUGUGCUGAUUAAAUUCCAAAUCUGCAAUAUGGAUCUGAGGAGAUCAUGGUCCCAAAGGCCCAUAAAAGCCCCUCGUUGAACGGAGCCCACAGCCUCAAGUCCAGAAGAUCGACACUUUGAGGCCUGGUGUUGUAAAGCCUGAGUUCCAAGGGUUCAGAGACCGGCAGAAACAGGCUCAAGGCUGCGUCACUGCUUGCUGCUUCAAGAUGGCGCCACCGAGACGUUUCUCGGACUGUGACUCAGAUGUUUUCAUUGCCCCAAACAUCUUGGUUUCUCAGGAAUCUCUGUCUGGCUUCCAGCCCUUGUCCUGUGGAGACUCAUCCAAUUCCCAGAUGCUCCAUGACCUUGAGUGGAGGGAAUAGGCAUGGCCAGCAGGAGGCCCUGAGACAGCAGCCUGAGCAAGACGUUUGUCCCCACUGCCGGGAGACUUACAGGAGGCCCAAACUAGGACAGCAUGAAAGGCUGGCAGUACGGGAGGGCCAGCCAGGCCUGCUAGAGAGCAGGACUGCUGAGGCCUAGGCUCUUGGGACAGCUGUUGGACGGAUCCUAAGGGAGAAGAUGGCACUUCACUGUGGACCUCAUGCCUCCGAGUUUAACUGGUUCAAAGGAAAACUCUGGGCCCCAUUAGUUCUGCGUUACUGCUGCCACAGGUUUCUCUCGACCAAGUUAAGAGUGAGGCAAUAUACAUGCCGGGAUGACCAAGCUACCCCAUGGGUCAUGGCUGCCCUAGGGACAGCAGGCGGACCUUCCCAUCCAGGGAGCCAGGUUCCCCCCACCCCCACCCCCACCAGGCAGAACCUUCAUCAUGGAUCAAGAGUGACAGGUGUCCCAGGCCAUCCUCUCCACUGUCCAAGGUACUACCUCUUUUAGAAACAGACCUCUUUUGGUCAAUCAGAACAUGCCUGUCACAGCUUUCCUGGUAGAAAAACUCAUCUCCAAGAAAAAAACGCAUACCAUGCAGCUAAAAACUUUUUCUUUCAUGUUAGCACAUCCUCUGUGUGCUAAUGGCUUCUUCCUACCACGAAGUUUACUGUUUCCUGGAAUAAAUGUUCUUUUU
ensembl:lncRNA